GCCUCCUGUGUGGUGUCUCUCGGUGACAACCUUCUGCCCUCUGAAUUGUAAAGAGAGAGAGAUUGAGCAAUACAAAUAAAGGAGAAAGAUCAAAACAAUUUACUGCCAAGUUUAUUUUCAAUGUUUAACUGACAGACAGUACGCUUUCUUCAAAGGGACUGAUUUGUUGCAGCCCAUUUACAGGGAUGAAAACAACUCAAGAUGUGAACGUUUCAUCAAAGAAUGAGACCGAGACAGGCCGAUUAACGCUUUACAGCAGGAGGCUCCACCAUUAAUAACUCCCUGGGACACAAUCAGAAGUGUUAACGAUGAGAUAGGAUUACUUAAACAACACUCCAAAGCCACCAUUUUUACUGUUAUGGUGAUUUCUCAUCCUUUUGAUAUGAGGUUAGUCAUUGGUAUGAUGCAAGGGGCUGUGUUUGACAUGUUUUCAUUAUUGAGAUUGAUGGAAAUCUUUGGCAGGCAGACAUGAGGGACUUAAAUCACAGUCCUCAACACAUACUGGAUUCUGAAACAGGUCGAAUCCUUGGCCCUCGACAGAAUAACCUGUAAGCGUUCCUCUCUGCCUGUCUCGAUCUAAAACCACAACAAUCAAUUGCAACAUCAUCACUGAGAUGAAGCCAAACCUGAAGAAUCAUGCACUGCUUUGUUCUUUAUUGCUUGAUCAUUUUAUUUGAAUGGGGAUCUUUUAAUUUGACCUCUUGGCUCUGGUAUAGCAGAGAGUUGAUGUAGCUAGAGUGGAAGUUGGCCACUAUGGUUGAAGGUCCACUGUUGACUGUAAUGUGGGGAUUUAUGAGGUGAGACCCUUUGUAGACUGCAUACUCAGACAAGGCCUGCAGAGCCUUCACUAUGUCCUGCGGAGAUAAAGGAUAAAGCAGCUCGACUCCAUUUCAAAAUGUUUUAAUAAAUGCCAAUUCCCACAGAAUGAAACCAAUAUAUGGUUUUGCUUUGGAUGUUGUUUGUGUGUCUGAGUGCAGACUGGGACUGCUCAGAAUUCUUUGGAUUUUAGUCUGCUGUUCUGCAUAUGCCCAGCCAGCCACAUACAGUCAGUCCCCUUACAAUAUGCCACAGACAAAGCAGCUGUUCCUCCUCCCUCUUGGUUGUUUUACUCUAUCCAGCUUUUGAGGCUGCUGCGGGCCAGCUCAAUACAGGCUGUUGAUCCUAAAUCCUACCUUCACUGAGCCUCUCUUGUAAGCCCUUGGGUCCCUACAAUGUUUUUAUACCCUAACUCUAUCCGUGGUGGGAUUUCAGGUUAAUCCGUACAUUUGAUCAACUUGACUCACAGUACUUGAUGGACUUAAUUUCAUUCCGUGUUACUGACACAACAGGCUCCAUAGACUCUAGACUAGAGGCUUGUUCUUUUGGGCUUU
ensembl:lncRNA